GUGCAGCUAUAUAGAUUUGCAGAAAGAAAAAGCAAAUAAAGGCAGUUUAGAUUGAUGCGGUCAAAAGAUUUUUGUUAAACAGGUCGUCCGAGGUAUGAAAACUACUCGUAAACAGAUAUUAUAUUGGUUAUUGAGGUCCGAUAAUUUUGUUAUGUGAUAAUGAGCCAUCCUGACUCCCGGAAUAACAAAUGUAAAACAAUUCAUAAUAAUGCCCCCCUAAUACUAACGGCCUAAUUUAUGUACAAAAAUUGAGAGAAAAACAAAAAUUUAUGUAACACACAAAAAAAAAGAAAAUCACUGAAUUACAUGCUCCCGGCUCAAAAUCUACUGGUCCUGCAAAAAUGACAUUAAUUUGACAUGUGCUGUUCUGAUUGCUCAUGAGCAAGUACAGAAUCCAAUCUGAAAUUUGACGAUCCUGUUACGAAAAUACAUUUCCUAUCUAGGUCUGUAACUGCAAAUUUUUCACAUACUGUAUAGUUCAUUAAAUUCCGAUCUACUAUAUAAUGCAACCAUUCACGAUCUAGCGCUAAUUUCGACCCCUGCUGACAGUUCUACGUACUGUUCUACAACAGUUCUCCUGACAGAUUUAAUGAGAGGUUAGAAGUGAUCUCUAAUGUACCUAUGCGGGACCCGGCUACAAGUGUGUAAUAGCAUCUUUACAUAGACACAAAAAAAUGUGUACGUUGUUGAAAGUUUCCUGUCUGAAAGCUAAAUUGUGUAAACAUUAUUUGACAUGUUGCUCAAUUAGUUAAUGUAUGUUACACUUAUAGGAAUUUGUUUGUACUAUAUGUAUUACACAUGGUCAUAUAAGAUCUGUGAAAUAACGAAU
rnacentral:lncRNA from 1 species